UCAUCACUGCAUCUCCAAUGCCUAGCACAGAGUCCUGAAUUACAAGCUCAAUAACUAUUUACUGAACGUGAAAUCAGAGCUGCUUCAAGAUAUAUGAGGCUAACUGAGUAGAUGCUGUUGUUCGGCAUUCAGAUAUCAAGAAACAACUAGCCAAAGUAAGGAUUAAGGAGGGGCCCAUGAAGCUCAGUAGAGCUUGUGAUAAUAUUUGCAAGAGAAGACUGCCUGCCAAACUAACUUCAAAAAAGGUGUUUCUGGUUGAAAUAAUCAUGCCCAACAUUCCACCAGGUUCCUCGCGUGUCAAAUACAUCAAAGCCUACCCCACCCAUCUGGAAUGGACAAGCAAAAAUGACUCACUGUGUUUUCCAAUUAUACUCAAGACCUAUCUCCAUAUGCCCUCCUCCUCUGCUUGAGCAGAAGGUGAAAGAGGUUGUGGAGACUGUGGAAUUUGGCCAUUGAAUCUUGAAGACAAAUGCUCUUUGACUUCACUACAACAUCAGUGGGCACUUGGCCAAGGAAGGCUAGUUAGAACCAGCCUUUUUGCAAACACAGCUGAGGUAUUUAUUCUGUCUUUCUUCAUCACAAAAGUAGCACGGAGAAUAAUGGACAAUAGAGUUCAAGUGGAGCAGGAACUGUCCAGAAUUUGAAGAAGUCACAUAUCAGUCCUGGCCACGAUAACUGGGGCACAUGUACUAUAUCCAAGUUGAUAUCCUCAAUUUGGGGAAAGUUUUCUUGCCUUUCCCACAGCCUCCCAAGCCAUUGACAAUCCCCACAUUCAAAACAUUCUCAUUCACAUUUCUGAUUCACUUUGCGCUACAGGAACAACAGCUGUUGAGUACUUCUAGGGAGCAGAGCCAUUAUAGGUAGACAUAGAUCUUGCAAAUAGAGAGGUAGAGAGCUUUCUCAAGACCUUUGGACCAAGCAGAUGACAUCACAAGGUGUACCUUAUGCUAAGUGCCUGAUCUCUAAGACCCUCCACCAGCUGUCAGACAGACAGCAUGCUCACAACAUGACAGCUGGUCAUUCAAGAUCAAGAACGUGAAGACCAGCCCACCCCUGAAAAUGACGGAUCAAACUCAGCUUCACAAUGACUCUUAUUCCAUCCCUAGUGGUGUUUAAAAACACACUUUGUCUUAAGCAACAAGGGGAACUGACCACGUGUUCACAAUAGUUCAUUUCUGACCCUCUGCUUUGGCUUGACCAGACUUUAGUCAGGCUUCUCUCCUCCACAAAGAUUCCUAGAUUUUGGCUCUCCUGCAAGUUUAAGCAAGACCCGAAACACUAAGGAGCAGAACAUCUGUUAACAGCUCAUCCUGAAAAUCAACUGACCAUAGAUAGAAACACUUCCUAUUGGAAUAUCCUGGUUUUGCCACCUGCUUGCCACACUCUAUGCCCUUCUCCACAAAGGUCUGGCUGGUCCUUCUCCCUCCAUAAAAAGGAAAAUCUUCUUUCUGUUUGAUUUUGAGACACUUGCAAAUAUCUGAG